UGUAAGCGUAUACCAAAGUUGUUGCAGUUAAAACGCUCGUAGUCGGAAUUUGGCAGUUCCGGAUGUGUGCACGUCGUGUGCGCACUUCGCGGGGAUUGCUUUUGUGGUCUUGCGUAGGAUGAGGCACUUUUAUUAGUGAACGUCCUCACGCAACCACUUUUUACUGUGAGAAAAUCAGAGUGCUCAAAGCAGGCACUUGCCGUGAAUGUAUUAGCAUGGAAUAAUAGAAUAGGACUUGGCUCUAUUUUGUUGGUUUGUUGGGACUGAGUAAUGAUUAAGAGGGACAGUUGGGGGCAUUUGUAUUUCGGUGCUAGAGGUGAAAUUCUUAGAUUACCGAAAGACAAACUGCUGCGAAAGCGUCUGCCAAGGAUGUUUUCAUUGA
rnacentral:rRNA from 1 species